GCUGGCGGCAGGCCUAACACAUGCAAGUCGAACGUGAAGCCCCUUCGGGUGGUGGAAAGUGGCAGACGGGUGAGUAACGCGUGGGAACGUGCCUUUCGGUUCGGAAUAACCCAGGGAAACUUGGGCUAAUACCGGAUACGCCCUUCGGGGGAAAGAUUCAUCGCCGAAAGAUCGGCCCGCGUCGGUUUAGCUAGUUGGUAGGGUAAUGGCCUACCAAGGCGACGAUCCGUAGCUGGUCUGAGAGGAUGACCAGCCACACUGGGACUGAGACACGGCCCAGACUCCUACGGGAGGCAGCAGUGGGGAAUAUUGGACAAUGGGCGAAAGCCUGAUCCAGCCAUGCCGCGUGGGUGAAGAAGGCCUUANGGUUGUAAACCCCUUUCAGCGGGGAAGAUAAUGACGGUACCCGCAGAAGAAGCCCCGGCUAACUCCGUGCCAGCAGCCGCGGUAAUACGGAGGGGGCUAGCGUUGUUCGGAAUUACUGGGCGUAA
rnacentral:rRNA from 1 species